GAUGAACGCUAGCGGCAGGCCUAAUACAUGCAAGUCGAACGGUGUCUUCGGACAUAGCGGCGCACGGGUGCGUAACACGUAUGCAACCUACCUUACAUUGGGGGAUAGCCUUUCGAAAGGGAGAUUAAUACCGCAUAAGACAGUAGCUGGGCAUCCAGCAGCUGUUAAAGAUUUAUCGAUGUAAGCUGGGCAUGCGUCCAAUUAGCUAGUUGGUGAGGUAACGGCUCACCAAGGCAAUGAUUGGUAGGGGAACUGAGAGGUCAAUCCCCCACACUGGCACUGAGAUACGGGCCAGACUCCUACGGGAGGCAGCAGUAGGGAAUAUUGGGCAAUGGACGCAAGUCUGACCCAGCCAUGCCGCGUGCAGGAUGAAGGCGAUAUGCGUUGUAAACUGCUUUUAUACAGGAAGAAACGACUCUUGCGAGAGGCAUUGACGGUACUGUAUGAAUAAGCACCGGCUAACUCCGUGCCAGCAGCCGCCGUAAAAC
rnacentral:rRNA from 1 species